GAUGAAGAACGUAGCGAAAUGCGAUAAGUAGUGUGAAUUGCAGAAUUCAGUGAAUCAUCGAAUCUUUGAACGCACAUUGCGCCCCUUGGUAUUCCAUGGGGCAUGCCUGUUCGAGCGUCAUUUGUACCCUCAAGCUUUGCUUGGUGUUGGGCGUCUUGUCGUAUUACGACUCGCCUUAAAUACAUUGGCAGCCGGCACUUUGGCCUAGGAGCGCAGCACAUUUUGCGAUCGUAGCCCGUUGUACUGGCGUCCAUCAAGAACAUUUACCACGUUUGACCUCGGACCAGGUAGGGAUACCCGCUGAACUUAAGCAUAUCAAUAAGCGAGGA
rnacentral:misc_RNA from 1 species